UCUGACAGCCAGCGGGACAUAACAUCUGGAAUGUUAUAAGUCAACAGCUCUGCUUGGAGAGCGGGAUGGUGAGAGGACACCAGGAGGGAGAGGUGUUGAGCCCUGGAAGACAGCUCAGCUCGGCAGGGAACAAAGGUAACUACUGAUAGCUCAAGAAAUGAAGACAAUGAGCAGUGAAACAUGGAUGGAUCUGAGAAAUACUUAAGACUUGGAGAUUGAUUGGAUUUGUACUCUCUUUCAAAGGGCAAAGAAGAUGUUGGUUGGAAGGAUGUGCCAUCUGGCACCCAUGCUCCCUCUUCUAGACCAUGUUCGGGCUUCCCCAAAUCUGUAAUCCUUGUCCAGUAGCCCUCGGAUGCUUUAGGAACAUCAUGAGUCUUUUCUCUGGCAAGCCUGCUAAGGGUAGCCUGUGCUGCUGCUGCUUUAUUUUUUAAUAGAGCUAAAAUUGAUACAUAACAUUAUUAGCUUCAAGUAUAUAAUAUAAUAAUUUGAUCUUUGUAUACACUACAAAGCAAUCACCACAAUAACUCCAGUUCAUGUGUUAUCAUAUAAUUACCCCCCUUCACCCAUUUUGCCUACCUUCCACUCCCUUCCCUUCUGAUAACCACCAAACAGUUCUCUGUAUCUAUGUGUUUUGUUUUGUUUGAGACACGCACACGUGUGUGUGUGUGUUCAUUUCAUAUGAAUGAAAUCAUACAAUAUUUGUCUUUCUCUGACUUAUUUUACUUAGCAUAAUACCCUCAAGGUCAAGGUCCACACGUGGUGUUGCAAAUGGAAGAAUUUCCUUCUUUUUAUGGCUGAAUAGUAUUCCACUGUACAUAUACCAUGUCUUCUUUUUCUAUUCAUCCAUCAAUGGACAUUUAAGUUCUUUCCAUAUCUUAGCUAAUAUAAAUAGUGUUGUAGUAAACAUCAAAGUGAUAUAUCUUUUUUAAAUUAGUAUUUUCUUCUUUUUCAGAUAAAUACCCAGAAGUGGUAUAGCUGGAUCAUAUGGUAAUUGUAUCUUUAAUUUUUUUAGGA